rnacentral:miRNA from 1 species
UCGUAUUAGUUCAGUGCAAAAGUAAUUGUGGUUUUUGAUAUUACUUUUAAAUGGCAAACACUGCAACUACUUUUGCACCAACCUAAUA